rnacentral:rRNA from 1 species
CCUACGGGUGGCAGCAGUGGGGAAUAUUGGGCAAUGGGCGCAAGCCUGACCCAGCAACGCCGCGUGCAGGAAGAAGGCCCUCGGGUUGUAAACUUCUUUUGUGAUGGGAGAAGACAGUGACGGUAGCUCACGGAUCAGCACCGGCUAACUACGUGCGAGCAGCCUCGGUAAUACGUAGGUGGCAAGCGUUAUCCGGAUUUACUGGGGGUAAAGGGGGUGUAGGGGGGUCUGCAAGUCAGAUGUGAAAUUUUAGGGCUCAACCCUGGAACUGCAUAUGAAACGGUAGGUCGUGAGUGAUGGAGUGGCAGGCGGAAGUCCGGGUGUAGCGGUGAAAUGAGUAGAUAUACGGAGGAACACCAGUGGCGAAGGCGGGCGGCUGGACAGUAACUGACGCUGAGGCGCGAAAGCGUGGGGAGCAAACAGGAUUAGAUACCCGAGUAGUC